CACGUAGGGCGCAAGCGUUGUCCGGAAUUAUUGGGCGUAAAGAGCUCGUAGGUGGUUUGUCGCGUUGUCCGUGAAAACUCACAACUCAAUUGUGGGCGUGCGGGCGAUACGGGCAGACUGGAGUACUGCAGGGGAGACUGGAAUUCCUGGUGUAGCGGUGGAAUGCGCAGAUAUCAGGAGGAACACCGGUGGCGAAGGCGGGUCUCUGGGCAGUAACUGACGCUGAGGAGCGAAAGCGUGGGGAGCGAACAGG
rnacentral:rRNA from 1 species